rnacentral:rRNA from 1 species
GACGAACGCUGGCGGCACGCUUAACACAUGCAAGUCGAACGAAAAUGUUUCACCGUAGCUUGCUACACCGAGACAUUUUAGUGGCGGACGGGUGAGUAACACGUGAGGAACCUGCCUAUCAGAGAGGGAUACCGUUUGGAAACGAACGUUAAUACCUCAUAACGUAACGAGAUCGCAUGAUAAUGUUACCAAAGAUUUAUCGCUGAUAGAUGGCCUCGCGUCUGAUUAGAUAGUUGGUGAGGUAACGGCUCACCAAGUCGACGAUCAGUAGCCGGACUGAGAGGUUGAACGGCCACAUUGGGACUGAGACACGGCCCAGACUCCUACGGGAGGCAGCAGUGGGGAAUAUUGCACAAUGGGGGAAACCCUGAUGCAGCGACGCCGCGUGAAGGAAGAAGUAUCUCGGUAUGUAAACUUCUAUCAGCAGGGAAGAUAAUGACGGUACCUGACUAAGAAGCCCCGGCUAACUACGUGCCAGCAGCCGC